UCCUCACAGAGACAAUGUCAGGUCCUUAACCCACUGAGCCACAAUGGAAACUCUCCAUUCUAAUUCUUAAAAUACAAACAUUAUUUCAUUCCAAUUGCUGUGUGCUAAACUCUAUAUUGAACCUGGGUCAUGUAUUUUCUUUUUUUUUUGGCUAAUAAAUGUUGGAAGGAUGGAUUCAUUUGUGAUCUCCUAUACAGCAGCAGUAAAUUAUUUAGCUGUCUCCCCUUUUCUUCUGUCAUUUACUAUUUCAUAGAAGCAGAUUGUUUCACUUAUUAUUAACCAUCUAUUUUAGAGUCUUUUGGGAAACAGCCUUGAAUCCAACUUUCCCAAUGUUUUAUUUCCUUGGCUAUAUCCUACCCUUGUUGUUAGAACACAUCUCUUACCACACCACUACUGCUUGAUUCUCCACUGACCUAAUUUAUUUUUCAAAUGUCCACUCCCUCUUAGUUCUCAGAGAUGCUCUUGGCCUUUAGUAAAUCCUUCAUUUUCUCCUGCCUCACUUGACCUUUUUUCUUGGCAUCCAUGCAUGAUUCUUUAUUCUUCAAUUCAAUUUGAGCACUAAAGCCCUGUAGCUAUUCCCUGCCUAACGGUUCCUUCAGAUUUCAGUAUAGACUAUAUAGUUUUUCUCUUGAUGCUAUUCUCUCCUGGCCCCUUUGCCUCCAAGAACUGUGACCUUGCUUAAGUAGGCCUUUUGUAAAGACAGUUUCCUCUAUUUCCUGAAAUAGUAUAGACUUUUCCUGCAGUUAUUUCACUUUUUACAAAGUAAUGAGCAAGGGAAUCAAGGUGUAAUAAACAUCUUUCACUAUAAUAAUAAAUUAUAGGACAAUUUAUUCUAACUGAUUAAUUUUGCAUUUAUAAUUUUCUUCUCUACAUAAGGCAAAUAAUGCUAGUGAUUUGAAAGUCUGCUUUGCCUUUCUGCCCUCACACAGCAGAGUACGCUCCCUUUUCUGUUCCUCACUGGGACAUAACGUUUCAAUGCUUUGUUUGCAAAAGGAUCAGUGACAUUUCAGUACAGAAUCACUCACCACCAUCUAAGCGAAAGCAACCCAGAGCAGAUUUUACCAAACUGUUGACCUUUACUCUCACUUUUCCCCUCUCUCUGAAUGAACUCUUCUUCCCCUUUGCCUAUGUGUCAUUUCCUCAAAUCCAAUGCUCUCAUGUAGCUAAGAUCACUCUGGAUAUGGCAAAAGAUAAAUCUGAUGUUUUAAUUUGUACUAAUAUGUUACUGACUUACAGUGUUACCUCUCACAAGAGAACCUGCUUGAGGAAGGUAAUAUUUAAUUCAAACAGAUUACCUUUCAUUGGGAAAUUCAGACCCCCUUAAAUGUUUUCAGAAGAACGGGAAGCAGAGGUGGCUGGCAAAUUAUACCAUGUUGGCGACUGAUUUUUGCAUCUUCACAUAGGCAAAUCUAGACCCAGAGCCCAGUAUGGAAAAGGUCUUAUUUCACUUUGUUUCUACAUAGACAUUCAUCUUCUAAGGGGCUCACAUCUUCUAUCAGGCAAAGACAGUCUGUUUCCCCUUGCUCAUUACCUCUCUACAAAAAUGAAAGUAGAGCCCAGUGACAAUCACUGGAUACCUUGAGCUUUAUGGAAUGUGGACAAUAAUCAACUCAAAAGAAUUAACUAACAUCGUUCCUAAUUAUUAACUCUGCCACACUUUGAUUGCUCAAUAAAUUUAGAAAGGUAUGAUUAAGUAGAAAUGGUAUGAAUUCCAGAUAGAUUAUAAUAAGGAUUUACAGGGUUUUUGCAAAACCCUUGCCUUUUGCAAAUAUUAAGAGGUGAAUUUACAUGCACUUCAGCCUGAAAGAAAAUGGUAUCUGUAGAGCCUCAGGAAUUAACAGUUUUAAAUUCUGGUUGGAUCCCAGGUGCUAGCUCUCCCAUACCGCUAUCUUUCUUUAAUAGAAAGUUGUAAGUUUCCAGAAUUCACAGGAGUCUAGUUGGCAUCUAUCCAAGACAAGAGUAUAGAAGAGAGGUAAUCAAUAUGCCCUAGCCUACCCUGCAAGGUUUAUUUUAAAGAUUGCUUUGAGUUAUGGUAAGGUCUUUGUGAAAUAGAUCAUCCUUACAGGGUAAAGCGGAUCCAUAGAGGUGUCCUGGAUAAGUCUUCAGGGAACCAGAGCAAAAUGUCAAGAAGCCCUCAAAAUCUCUGUUUUUAUUUUAUGAGGAGUAAAGGAUCGAUAGUAGUGAUUGGUAGAGCCCAGUUGAUGAAAAGGUCCAUAACAUGGGAGGAUGCUUCCAGCUGUGAUUGGCAGAGGGACCAGGUUGCAGCUUAGAGGCAAGAAUUAAAGUUGCAUAAGCAACAUGAGCUAAGUCCAAACACUGGGUAAUCUAGAAAUAGCCUUGUCAGAAAAGCCACGCUAGAGAGAAUUACAGAAAUCAAUUUUGGUUGCAAGCAAAGCCUUGUUUAAAAUUUCAUCUUGCUAGAUACUAACAACUAUGAGAGAUUUGCCAAUUCAAGAAAAUUGGAGGUAAAUGCUUUGGGACACUACUGUGUGAUUGACAUGGUUGAGUUUCAGGAGAGAAUAGUGCUGUCUUUACAAUGAGGUUGGGAAAAUCUUCACAUACUGCUCUAUCAUAGUAGCAGGUUUUACAAUCACUCUAAAUGUUACUAGUAGGUGAAAUAAAACUCCUUAUGAAAGUCUUUAUGAAGUGCUUACAUUUGUAAAUAUUUGUUAUCAGUUUACUUCACUAUUAACUCAUUUGCUCAGAAUGAAGAGUCCUCUUUUUAAGUCAAUCAGAGUCUGCGAUAGGUGAGAGUAAAUUCUGUGACAACUUGGUAGUGAUGAGAGCAGAUGGAAGCUAUUGGCAGUCCAUUUGACCCAUGAACCUGAUCAGAUAAAAUAUAUAUAAAGGUAGUCUGACUAAAGUAACUCCUCAUAAGCUCUGGAUUUUGAGGGAAAUUUCUUGGCUUUUUUGUUUUUACUCACUACAUCCCCUCUCUGCCUUCAAUGCUUAUGCUUAUUAUUCAACUUAUAAAUGCUUCACUUGAUCCUGCCAUUUCUUCUAAAUAUGAGACAAAUUCAUAACCAAGUCUGCUUUGAUUUCUGUUUCUUUAUCAUCAACGUAACCACUUAACUCCAUUGCAAUCUGGCCUUUAUCCCCAUAAUUCCAUUGCAACUAAAUUUUUCCUAUUUUAUCAAUAGUUUCUUCUACAUUGUACCCUUUCAAAUUCUGUAUGACAUUUAAUGUUUUGAUCACCUACUUCCCUUUUAAAAACUGGCUCUCAUCUAACCUCUGUAAUUGCUUUCUAUAUUCCUCAUUUAAAUCUUCUAGAGGUCUCCCUUUCCUCUCCAUCCUCCAGCUGUCAUUUAAGUUUUAGUCUUUGACCCUAUGCUAACAGCCUUCUGCUUUCUCUCUUUCACAGAGUUAUUGAGGCUUCAACCAUUAUUUUUAUCUUCCAAAUACUACAUGCCAGGUAACACCUCUCUUAUGCCUCUGCUAAUUAAUCUUUUAAAACUAUUGUUUUGCUCAUAUUGCUCUCCAUUUUAAGAGCAGCAAAAUGCCUGGAUUCUGAGACCCAACCUCCACACUUGACCUCUUCCAUGAAGCACGUCCCAACCAACUUUAUUUCAAUAAUAACAUUACCUUAGAAGCUUUCCUACCACCUUUCUAUGUGAAAACAAUCUAGAAUGUACUCUUCACUCUCCUUUAUUAUCUAGUCUAUCUAGAUCCUCAGUCUCAAAAAAUAACAUACUGUAUGAUUCUAUUCAUACAACAUUUUUCAAAAAGACAAAGCUAUAGUUACAGUGAACAGAUCAGUGGCUGCCAAAGGAAGGGGAGGAUGCGACUAUAAAGGGAUAGCACAGAGGGCUUUUGGCAACGAUGGAACUCCUCUGUUUCCUAAUGGUAGUAGUUGUUACAUAAAUCUAACCAUGUGUUAAAAUUCAUAGAACUUUACACCAAAAAAAGUCCAUUUUACUGUAUGAUCAUUUAAAAAAUAAAACUUAAAAAGAUUUAGCGAUACAAGUAACUUUUCGUCUCUUUUUCAUUUUGAAAGCUUUAGAAUAGAAAGGCUAUGAAAAGAGUAGGGCUGGUCUGUGGAUAAAGCUUUUAAAAAAUCAAAUAUAUCUUCUAGAUUAUGCAUGCCUCCAUGAUGAGAGCAUGGGCACAUGUGGAUUGGCCAUAAAUAUGAAGAGGAAGCAUAAAGUAAAUUAAGGUUUUACAGUCAGUGUCACUCAGCCAAUGUAGCAAAUAGGCAAAAGCUGGGCCUCUCAAAAUAUCUUCUCGUGUAUUGUAGCUAUGAGCGAAUAAGACAGUAAAAAGCUAAGGGCUAAGACACAGGCACAAAAUAUUAACUCUGAGGGUGAUGGAACUUGGAAGGCAUCUACCUCACAAUUCUUUCUUUCAACCCUAGGUCAUUAAUAACUGGUAAAUAGUCCAACUGCAUAUAGAUUCCAUAGUUUUUCUGUGUUUUCAUUUCCUAUCUUGAUGGAAACAAUUAUAUUUUUACACAAUCAAGGAACAAAUGUGACCUAUGUCAUAAUUUAUGCAGCUGACGGCAUGUAUUUUUGACAACAUUAUCAUGUUUCUGAGUUAUAAAAUUUCUCUCUUUCUGCAAUUUAGAAUGCAGUGAGGGGCAAAAGGGAAUAUAUUAUCUGUGACUUCAUUCUGGUGUUACAUUCAUAGCUAACUUCCCAAUUCUGGGUGAGCCUUACCAAAAUUUCUCAUUCUUUGGAAAGACUUUCCUAGUCUCAUAAUCUUCAUCAAUCAAAAGUUACCAUCUCAGGGACCACACCUUCUUUGCAGACAGCUAGGACUUCCAUAUAUGUUGUUAGGCACAAGUCUUUUGACUUAAGGCAUGAUAGAUACAUCAAAGCUAGAGGCAGUCCCUUUUGUCAAGGUUAUCUACAAUAACUUCUUUCAUUGCCAUUCACAGCUAGGGACUUUCUUAUUGAAAUGUAAUCAACACCACAAUAGCUUUGGUAAUCUCAAUGCUCUCAGUGAUCUCUUCUGAGGCUUUGAAGCACGCUCCUUUAGGACAACUGGAUCAAGCAUGCAUAACAAGUUUGUAUAACAUCUACUGCGAUGGCCCCAGGCUCUCUGUGUGACCUUUUAGAUAUUAAAUGAUGGACACCUGCCCAUUUCAUCCAAGCAUGCUAUUCAAGGUUUGAAAGCUUCCUUUCCAGGAACAAAAAAAAAAAAAGAAUUCAAGCAUAAACUCCUUUAUAGACACUGGAUUAAUAGAAGAAAGCUCUAAUACUUGCAAAAUACUUCAUUACAGGGCUUUGGCUGGAUCCCCAUGAUGUUAAAAAGCACCAGGGAAGCCCAGUGUAUCAUUUAUUACCUGUUCCCCUCUACUUCAAACAGUAUUACACAUUCAUAUGGGUACUUUCUCAAAACUAUUUUCUUAAAGAACUCUGUGUGUCAAGUAAGGAAGGCUUCCUUAAGUAAUUUUAGGCUCACCCUUUAGGGAGUUUUACAACCUAUGUUACCACUGGCAGGCUAUAUAACCCUUAUAGAGAAUUGUUUUUUGUAAACAUAAAG
rnacentral:lncRNA from 1 species